CAGUAGCUCAAUGAUAAUCUCGAAUUUCUAGGAAACCACACCGAAAGAUGAAAACUGAUCGAUUCAAAAACAGGAAUGUGGAUUUCGUUAAAAAAAAUUAUCCAGCUCGAUAUUUCUAUCCACGAAGAAGUUGAGUCCUGCUCGGUCUCAUUAUUUGUCGAUGAUCGAGCGUAAGCGAGCGAGUGUUGCUCCAGGGUGUUGUUCUCACAGGGAAGAAUGGAAGUGAAACGACUACGCAGGUGGACCGGAGGAAUUCAGGUGGGAAAGGUAGACGAGGGAACUCCCGCUGUCUCUCGUUUAGGCGAUCGAGAGAGAGAGAGAGAGAGAGAGAGAAAGAGCAGCGAGACGGGAAGAUACUGUCGAUAGAGUGAAACCGCCCAUGAGAGCCACAUUCCGAUGCCUGGUCGGUAGACUUUCAGGCGCCCAACUCGUUGCCCUGUACGUAGACGGGCCUUCUUCAUGGGUGUGUGUGCGCGCUCGUGUACGUGGAAAUCGAGCCCGUUCAUUCAGAAAGUCGUUUUACGUGUGGUUGGGCCAAGCACUAGCUUGCUCCAGUGCUCAAACAUGGGAGGGGAAUUCUUGACUGGUAUGCAGGGAUGUACAUGCGUGCUAACCGUGCCCCUAUCCUGGCUGUUGAUGGACCAUCGAGGCCCCCCUUCCCCCCCUCGUGGGGCUUCGCUCCCUAUUUUUCUUAGUUCUCAUAAAAAAAAAAAUGAAGUCUCGAAGACCGGAAAGGUAAAGCUAUGAGCAAGCACGACAAUUCUGGCCUGGACGAGGCUACUCGUCGAUGUUACCUUUGGAUACUGUGAAUAUGCCUGUCAAUUUCGUUACUUUUGUGGCUUACUCCAUUCGCUUAAAGGGGAUGAAGAUCGACGUUCCGGAAUCUGUGUUCAACGCGAAUAUUCGGAAGCGAGUUUUUCAACGGGAGUUUCGGAAAGUGCGGUUGAAACGUUCCUGCAAUUUCUAAAAUUUUGAAUAAACGCCGGAGACGCGGGAAAAAACGUAAAACUUUCUCAAACAAUGUGCUCGACGCCCAUCCCAUUUGAUUAAAUUAUAAAAUGAACGGAAGUGCGAUUCCAAGUGAAAGUCUCCAAUUUUUAUAGCUCAUUUGUCCAAUGUGAGAAAAUCAACGGCGGUCGUCGCUGUAGCGGCUUGAGGCGAGCACACUCGCCGAGAUCAUUGGCACGAGGAUCGCUCGAUUUUCCAUUUGUAAAUAAAAAAGGAAGGAGCCAUUGAAAUUCGACAUGCAUCGGGGUUAUUCAAUCGCCGUAGCGCGUUACUCCGUCGAUGUGUGACACAAAAGUUUACCGGCGGAUGUCGAAGACUAAAGCGAAGAAAGAACCAUCCCUUUUGCACCUUCCCGCAUUGUGAGCGGGAGAAUUUUCAGGAAUUCGCUUCGACAUUGUCACGUUUCUUUUCUACGGUCCUGAGUGAACUGUGUCGCAUCGUAAAAACUCACAAUAUCGUGCAUUGUGCGGACAUUUAUCGAGGUAACACUGCAUCGUGAGCGUUUUGCUGGCUCUGGAAUUCCGAAAACAACUCUUGUUUGGAGGGCAGAAUCGUUCGGUAUCGGGAAUUCGUUGGGUUUUAUCGAAAGCCCUGUGAAAAUGAGCUCCUGGUGCAUCCUCAUUUCCAAAAAUGUUUUCACUCCUUCUUCAAAUGAAUUUUGCUAUUUUAGCUCUGAAAUUAUUCAAGUUUUUUCACUAGAAUUAUCAGUUUUUCAGGAUUCCUCUCAAAGGCUUUACAUUCAGCCCGGAUUUGAAGUUUAGGUCGGUCCAGGUUUAUGACAUAAGCGUAGGCAGACCAGUCACGCAGGGCGCGUUUUAUUUCAUUUCUCAACUAUGUACCCGCCGGACAAAAGGCUGGAUGAGUUAUGAGUUUCACCGAGGCCACGUGACCGCCUUUUAUUCUCUCCUCUUUCGUUUCAUCCUUCUCGGACCGGCUGGAGAUGUCUUCACAAAAUUUGACACGACGAUUAUGUGAGCCAUUAUCUGCUUUUUCUAUAUCUGUAUGACGAAGCCACGGAAUUAUUUUGAUAAGGCUCAUCGUAACUCGUCGAGUACGAGACGCACAAGAAAUCGUGUAUACAAACAUUUUCUGCGUAAUUUCAACACGUUUGUAUAUUUAUGUCCUGCAUCCGAGUGCUUCGAGAAACACUCCGAUUUCAAAAAACUUUUCGACGCUUUUAUUCAACUUGCCGCAUACACGUGACAGAAAAAAAUCGAUUUUGUUUCAUUUCGAUGAAAGAGUCCAGCGUGCUAAAAAAACUAAAAAUUUCACCCUCAACCUUCGAUUUUCCCCAUUUCCAAGGGUAGUAAGGUGAAAAUUGAGUUUAAAAAUCGACUCAGUGACCCAAAAAACCAUUGUAUACCAAUUUUUGUCCAAAUCGGUUGAAAAUUGAAAAAGUUAUUUCAAUAUGUACAUAACAUGUUAUACAAAACCAGAAUGGGUCCGACUUUUUUUUGUACAUAUAUGAUCCAAUACCAGUCAACCGGUUAAGGAGGCUGGAUCGCGACGAUACAAUGUU